CCUACGGGAGGCAGCAGUCGGGAAUCAUUCACAAUGGGGGAAACACUGAUGCAGCAACGCCGCGUGAGUGAUGACGGCCUUCGGGUUGUAAAGCUCUGUCUGCAGGGACGAUAAUGACGGUACCUGUGGAGGAAGCCACGGCUAACUACGUGCCAGCAGCCGCGGUAAUCCGUAGGUGGCGAGCGUUGUCCGGAUUUACUGGGCGUAAAGGGGGCGUAGGCGGUCUUUUAAGUGAGAUGUGAAAUACUCGGGCUCAACUUGAGUGCUGCAUUUCAAACUGGAAGUCUAGAGUGCAAGAGAGGAGUAUGGAAUUCGUAGUGUAGCGGUGAAAUGCGUAGAGAUUAGGAAGAACACCAGUUGCGAAGGC
rnacentral:rRNA from 1 species